GGGUGGUUAGCUCAGCGGUAGAGCACNNAGAGCACCUCGUUUACACCGAGGGGGCCGGGGGUUCGAAACCCUCACCACCCACCA
rnacentral:tRNA from 1 species